rnacentral:tRNA from 1 species
GGAGAGGUGACCGAGAGGCCGAAGGUACCCGCUUGCUAAGCGGGCGUAGGGCUAAAACCCUACCGAGGGUUCGAAUCCCUCCCUCUCCGCCC